CGAAGCUCAUCCCUUUAAUCCCUCGAUAGCACUUUCCUUUACCCUCACCGAUCUCGAGCCCUCCCCUCUUCUUCACUCCGUCACUGUCACACCACCGCCCUCGUACCGUUUCUCUCUUGUCGUUGCAUCACUGCCAUAAUGUUUCGAACAAGCUCGGUGUUUCCAAAAUGUAUGAGGAUGAUAAGAUUAGGGUUCGAGCUCUCGCAAAUCACUCUGGGUCCUUCUCUCGACCACCUGUCAGGGCUCUAUAUGCUACCACAAUACCCUUAAACUCGCUCCCUCACUUCAAAAUCACACCACUCGGUACCCAUGAAGGAGGACAUGAAGAGAAAGAGCAAGAUGCUGGAGGUAAGGUGAAACAAUCGCUGCCCAAGAAGCCUCCUUAUUUGCGGCCAUUGGAGACCUCUCAAUGUCGUUGGAUUUUGAAGCUAUAGUGUAUCCUCCUUGCUGUCGAGAAGGUGGGUUCGUUUCUUGUUCUGUUUUAGUAUUCUGAAUUAACUUUCCCUAAAUUCAUAUUUAGGUGGAUUAAGUUUUGUUGGGUUUGAUUAUAGAGUAUUGAGGUUUCUAGAUAUGCCUUUCAAGAAGGUGGAUUGCUGCAUCCUAGGUUUGUUUCUUGUUCUGUUUUGAUUAUUUUUCCAUUGCUCAUAUUCAUUCUUCUGCUUCACAGUUUUCUGUGUUCUUCUUUUCUCUCUCAAAUUCCGAUCACAGUAUUCAUAUUUCUCUGUGCAACAUCGUUGAAUUAAGUCACUGGAGAGGGAAAAAUAAAAGAUAUUGGCAUACUUGUGAGAAUAAUGAAAACAGAGUGGAUGAUUGGAUUAGCACGAAUUUCGCUGCAGUAAAUCAUAAAGUUGGAUUAGUGUGAAUUCUGGUUUGGGCUCAUCUUUGUGUAUCUUAACUCCGUAAGUCAUAAAGUUUACUUAUACUAGCUAGAGAAAAUCAUAAGAUAAAAUCCAUAGGUUUCAUUUUGAUUAUUGGAGGUGGUAACUAAUAGUGUCACUGCAAAUGAAAACAAGACAUAUCAAACUUCACUUGGAGAGACCAAUGAGGCAAUUUGUGAUUUUGCCUGCACAGCAAAACCACUUGGUAUGUGAAUUAUAAGAAAUUUAAUGGGGAGAGGUUUGCUUCUUCAUGCAUUCAGUUGACUUCUCUUAUAUUGAACCUUUUCAGUAGUUGGUACGUGUAAAUAGUCACCAUUAAAUUCUUAAUGUUAGAGUUGUUCAGUUUUAGCGUUGAAUUUAAUUUUUCAAUUUGCAACCUAUUCCCCUACCAUUGGAUGAGGACUUCAACCAGGCCUAAAAGCUAAAAGAAAGAAAUGUGAAGAGGAUCAGGCCUUGUUUUGUGAUGUAUACUUUACAUGUUUGAUAGCAUUGAACUAGUUUUGUAAAUUGUCCUCUGUUACCUAAAUUUGGAGCACUAUUAUAACUUUACCCGUUAUAUAUUAUUUACCUCAUUUUUCUUGUUCAUUGGUUAUGUUAGAUAUUUAUAUGGCAAUUUUUUAUUGUUAUAACAGGAUUAUCUUCUGAUUUAAUUUUAUAUUUCAGGUUAAGUGAGAUUCAGUGGGAUGCAUGUGUUCUAUUCUGUGCUGGGUGCACCACUACUCAGUUGAAUGCAAAGUGAGAGUAUUCAACUACUUUGGCAUUGAACCAUCAUGCUUAUUUUUCACAUAUGCUAACAGUACGGCAUAAAGAGAGACUGAGAAAGUAGCUUGAACGAUGGAGCUUGAUCAAUAACUUGAAGAUCUUUUUAGUGCUUUCAUGUAUUGUUAAGAACUUUUUGUUGAUAUAGUUUAUAGGAUAAUAUUUUUGUAUAGUGAGUGUUUAAGUGAUUGAUCUCUCGUCAAUCCUAUGAUGUUUAUUUAUAAUAUAUUGGACGUUUAAAUUUUAGUAAUAAAAUAUUUUUUACAUUGUU